CUAAGAAACACUAUUCUCUCCAUUUCUCAGAAGAAAGACAAGGGUACAGAAAGAGAUUAGAUGACUUUCCCAGAGAAUCUGUGGCAGAGCCAGUAAACUGAGUCCUAGUUCAGUGCCUUAACCAUCCUUCCUUUCAACUGCCUAUGCCUCAGGAUGGCCCUGCCUGGAACACUAUACUAACUUACGUGGAGCCAGAGACAGGCCCUUAGAUACUCUAGCCGAUACUACCACCCAGACAAUUUGGACUUCUACGGUGAAAAGUUAAUAAAACCAAAAAUCACCACACAUUAGAGUCUUCCAGUCAGUCCCAAAGGGUCAGGCGCUGCAUCCCAGACAUCCUAAAGGAUUUUUAUCAACGUCGGCUCUCCUGCAUGAAUCUUUGAACAACAGAUCUCCCUGUAGCAAGCCAUUGAAUUAUGGAGAGCCCUGGAGGCUUUGGCAGACGGUUUACAAACUGGAUCACUGCUCUGUAUGAUUCCCAUCAUCUCAUCCAGCAAUCUGAAGAAAUGGGAGAGAUUUGUUGAUAUCAAACUCCUGGCUUCCUGCCCUGUGUCAUCAUCAUCUUUGCUUUCUUUGGAUAUUCAUUGUUGGUUCAACUCGAUCAGUCCCUCAUUUGUCAGUUGAUCAUUGUGAGAUCCCAAUGACUUGCACAGCCUCUUCACCCAUCUCCUCAAAGCCAACAUCCUUUACCAACUUAAAUUUCUUGCUUGAGAGCAGGAAUUGCCUCAAAUCCCAUGAAACUGUGGACAUCAUCUGGCCAUUCAUACAUUGAAACGUGACUUCUUCCCACAAACUGGUCAAUGUUUUCCACAUUAUUCAAGCUGUUGUAGGACUUCCAAGACUCCUCUAUACUGGACUUUCCUUCACCUGCCAUCUCAUUAAUCAGCACGUAGAAUGUCCUCCAUAGGUAAUAAGCUUGGGAGGUGACAGGCGAACGUAACUAUUGUACAACAGGGGAACAUGUUCCAAUUCACAUUGGUCUCAAUCCAUGCAAAUGAUGGAAAUGCAGUUCAGAAACAUGAAACAAAAUAUAUUUCUUUAUUGUUGAUGUGUGAUGGACAUCUUAAAUAAUGAAUAAGGGGGAGAUGUAUACUGGGAUCUCCUGUACUCACAUGAAAAAACUUAUGCACCUUGUUAAAUGUUUACCGGAUCUGGUCUUUAGUUAUUUCUAUAGCUAGUUCUGGCUUUGUACAAUGAGUUUUUGUUUGACAUUGACUAAUUUAUUAAGAUCCCAACUGUAGCAUAUUAACAUCAGUAAUUUACACUUUUGUUUAUUAGAUGGGUUUUGUAGCUCAAGAAUAUUUCUGCCUUUCUGUAGUUCUUGUCAUGUUGCUUACCACAUCCUUUGAGAACAAAAAGGUAAAAAACAUCGCAAACAUAGA